UGGAGGAUCCCCGCUGGAGCCUGGACACUCUCAGGGUGGAGCCUGCUGGACAACGAUGGCUGACACCAGGUCUGAGGAAGUAUUCCUGUCAACUCACCGUCGACACAAACACAGUCCACAAACGCAUCAAACUGUCUGACAACAACAGGAAGAUGACACGUGUGAAGGAGGAUCAGUCAUAUCCUGAUCAUCCAGACAGGUUUGGUGAUGAUCUUCCUCAGCUGCUGUGUAGAGAAGUUCUGACGGGUCGCUGUUACUGGGAGGUCCAGUGGAGCGUACAUGUUAAUGUAUCAGUGAGUUACAGAAGAAUCAGCAGGAAAGGAGACUCUGACUGUAGGUUUGGAGGAAACGAUCAUUCCUGGAGUCUGAACUGUUAU